GGAGGCAAUGGAUUUCUCACCUACAACAUACAUUCCAUCUGUGGAUUAUACUGAACGUGCCACUGCAGCUUUAAGCCUCAGCUAAAUAUCUGAAGACUGGGCAGAGGAAUGAGCUCUUGGUGAAAUGGACAUUCAAAGUGAAGAUAAAAUGGAAAGAAAUAAGAAGAGCAUGUCUGGCAAUCCUGCCAAGCCCUGUAGCAGCUCUCCAGCCAGUGGGGAUCCACAUGGAUGCUGACAGGCCAAGGACUGUGUGCAUAUGGAUUGCUCAGCUCUUUGCCCCAACAUUUGUCAGCAACAGAAUGUCAUCUAUGCAUUCUGGACAAGAAACCAUGAAAGGAAAAAGCAGGUAAAAGUAUUGUUCUCAUCUAUAUUCACCACAACAACUUAGAGAUAAGUUGCUGUUAUUUGCCCAUCCACAUCUGGAUCUCUUUCUGAAAAAAAGGGCGUAUAUGAAAUAAGGAACUUAUUUCCCAGCAAGGGGAACUGCAUGCCUACAUGAAUCAGCUGUGAAAUUGGGGUAUUCUCCUGCUACGAGUGUAGUAAGGAAGCUAAAUAGAAAAUUUAUAGAGAAGUACUGACAGCAAAAGUUUUGAGGAUUUGGGAUCCUGUUUUGAUGCAGGACAUAAUCACUGAUAGCCAACAGGAGUCACCGGUGCUGACCAGGCAGAGAUUAAGGCAACACUUCAUUACACUGAUGAGAUAAUGUAAAAGAUCAGGGAUAAGUGCUGGGGCACUUCAGCUUGUCCAAAUGACUGAGAUAAGAAAGCAGCAGCUUCUGAAGAGAGUCAACGUUUCCUGUGUAACUCAUGCUCUGGCAAAUGGCAUUGCCUACAGAGAGCAUCAUGAAUAUUGCUAUCUGGGGAAGAACAGACUGAGCAGCAUACAUGGAAGAAA